UUUUAAAAAAGUAUAGACAAAAAACUUACAUGCUGCUGAAGAUAGGCCUACGAAUGUCAGAAGACCUGGUAUCUUUAAACAACACAGCUCUGAUGAACUUUAUCCCAAGUAACCCAACCAACUUUUUCCGAUACAAUGGAAGUUUGACAACACCCUCAUGUAAUGAAGUUGUUGUGUGGGCAGUUUUUACUGAAACUAUAAAAAUCUCAAAAAUCCAGCGUGGGGAUACGAGAACAGUGGUCCGUCAAACUGGGCACAGACUUACUCUACAUGUGGCGAAAACAGUCAAUCACCCAUCAAUAUUAAAAUUUCCGAUACAACAUUACAAGCUAGCCUUGGAAAUAUGACAAUGACCGGAUAUGACACACCAGUUGCCUUAACGAUUAAAAACAACGGACAUACUGCCCAAGUUGACGUCACUGGUAAUCAAUAUAUUUCGAAUGGCGGCCUUUCAGAACAAUAUAAACUUGCACAGUUUCAUUUCCAUUGGGGAUCUGAUGACACGAAAGGUUCCGAACAUCAACUUAACAGUAAAACCUAUCCCAUGGAAGUUCAUCUCGUCCAUUAUAAAACUUCUCUAGGAAGUCUAGGAAAUUCUGUAGGUGUAAAAGAUGGUCUUGCUGUUCUUGGGUUCAUGUUUGAGAUUUCAGACUGUGAUAAUGCUAAUUAUGCUGAUCUUAUUUCUAAAUUAGCUGACAUUACAGCAUACAAUUCUAGCAACCUGGUGUCUUUAAACAACACAGCUCCGAUGAACUUUAUCCCAAGCAACCCAACCAACUUUUUCCGAUACAGUGGAAGUUUGACAACACCCUCUUGUAACGAAGUUGUUGUGUGGACAGUUUUUACUGAAACUAUAAAAAUCUCAAAAACCCAGAUGGCGACAUUUCGUACAUUGAUGUCCUCUGAAACCGAUUCCAACAACCAACAAUAUAAUAUUACCAACAAUUUCAGACCUGUUCAGCCGCUAUAUUCAAGACCAGUACUUUCUAAUUUCUACUCAAGCUCCGCCACAACAGCAUAUCUUACAGUUUAUACCGGUGUCUUAUC